rnacentral:rRNA from 1 species
GAUGAACGCUGGCGGCGUGCUUAACACAUGCAAGUCGAACGGACUUAUCUUAUGAAGCUUGCUUCGCGGGAUAAGUUAGUGGCGGACGGGUGAGUAACGCGUGGGUAACCUGCCGUAUGCUGGGGGACAACAGUUGGAAACGACUGCUAAUACCGCAUAAGCACACAGUAUCGCAUGAUACAGUGUGAAAAACUCCGGUGGCAUACGAUGGACCCGCGUCUGAUUAGCUAGUUGGUGAGGUAACGGCUCACCAAGGCGACGAUCAGUAGCCGGCCUGAGAGGGUGAACGGCCACAUUGGGACUGAGACACGGCCCAAACUCCUACGGGAGGCAGCAGUGGGGAAUAUUGCACAAUGGGGGAAACCCUGAUGCAGCGACGCCGCGUGAGUGAAGAAGUAUUCCGGUAUGUAAAGCUCUAUCAGCAAGGAAGAAAAUGACGGUACUUGACUAAGAAGCCCCGGCUAACUACGUG